CAAUGUAUUUACAAAUGGCAAAGGUGACAGAGAGCAACAAUUUCACCUCUGGUUUGACCCCACUGCUGACUUUCACACCUAUUCUAUCCUCUGGAAUCCUCAGCGCAUUAUGUAAGCAAUAUUUUCCUUCAAUCUCCAUCGUUUGUUUUUUCCUUGUCGUUCAAUCUGCUUAGACUUAUCAAUGUUUACUUAAUUUUCAGCUUCUCUGUUGAUGGCACCCCAAUAAGAGAAUUUAAGAACUCAGAGUCAAUUGGCGUUCCAUUCCCAAAGAAUCAGCCAAUGAGAAUAUACUCUUCUCUUUGGAAUGCUGAUGACUGGGCCACAAGAGGUGGCCUCGUGAAGACAGAUUGGACGCAUGCUCCUUUCACUGCUUCCUACAGAAACUUUAAUGCUGAAGCUUGUGUUUGGUCUAAUGGAAAAUCUUCUUGCGCUUCAAAUUCUGCUUCCUCUACAUCCAGCAACGGUGCUUGGUUCUCACAAGAGCUAGAUUCAACAAAUCAAAAUAGGCUGAAAUGGGUGCAGAAGAAUUACAUGAUUUACAAUUACUGCACUGAUACAAAGAGAUUUCCUCAGGGCCUUCCUGCAGAAUGCAGAAUCUCCUAGAGAAAAUAAUCAACAAGACACUUAAAAAUUAUUUUAUUCUUUCGUGUAAUCAUUCAAUGGUUAUUCAAUUCAUGUAGAUUCUGGAGUCAGAUUCUUUGUUUCUCUGUAAUCAAUAAAAUGGCAUGUUAGUCCAAUUUUUACCAUAUGUAACACUGGUUAAUGAAUUUAAAAAAGGAUAAUGUUAUGCGUACUUGCGUGGUAUACAAAUUAAGUAUGCUAACUAAGUAAACAUAAUAUUACUAUUUCAAAAGAUUUUGUUCUUCUUUGUUGUUAUUCUUCGUAAGCUUUAGCAUAUAGUUAUAAGCCUAAUUAAAGGUAUUGACAUGAUGACUCAUUAAUAAAGCUUUUAGACCCUAGAUUGGAAUAUGAAGAAUUAUCGAGGAAGCAUGAAGAUAAAAGAGCAAAUGAGUCUCCACCAGAAUGAGAAGAAAAUGUACUGCGCGUGGGCGUUACCGUAUUUGUGUCAAUCGAGGAGAAAUUUUGGCCAUUGAUUAGUAUUUGAUAAGGCAGUAAAAGGGUAAAAUGGCAAAAAUAAAAUUAAAAAAACUAACCGAGUGAACUUACACAAGUCGAUGAGGAAGAGUGAUGCAUACCGUUAUUGGAUGAGGAAUGUGCUUGUUAAUUAACAAUGAGAGAUUGAUAGGAGGACAAGGUGCGAGCCAGCUCUCGAGUGUUGAUAUUUCAAGGCGAGCCAACCUCGCCAUGCCACCACCGCCUUUCCAGUUAAACAAAUAAAACAUUCUCUAGUAUAAGUGGUAGUAUACAAAACAGCAAAAUCUUCAGUCCGUUCGAUUUAAAUACCAAUAUCUAUAAAUUCCUUAAUAAUAAUAAUAAGCAUAUCUUCCAAUUCCAUAUGCGUUUUAUUACACAGGAAAUCACCAGGAAGUAUGUGUUAUCAAUUAACCUAAAAUUAGGAUACAAAUUCACAGUUUCAUGUUACUAGGAAGCAUCUGUAUCGGAAAUAUAGGGAUACAUAUUUCUUAGAUGUUAGAUCCAUGUUUCAUGUUAGGGACUCCAGUAAAGACUUGUCUUUAAUUUUCUUGGGUCAAGCCAUUUUCGUUUUUACAUAGCAAAGGUUUCUUGUUCAAAUCUCAGCGUGCUCAAUUUUUUGCGAAUAACACACGUAUAUGUUUCAAUUCUUGUAUGUUCAAGAACCUCUAAUUCAAUCUCCUAUCUCCGCUUUUGGAACGACAUGACCUUCAAACUGGAUCCAUGUUUCACACGGGCAGGUCUUUCAACACUUUAAUGCUAUUUUCUGGACUCCUGUUUAACGUCUUAAGCUUUUGAACCAAAUGAUUUCCUGAUAAUAAAUAUAGUUAUAAAAAAAAAUCUGUUAAUUAAGUACGUCAUUGAACAAUUUUUUUUCUUUUUCUUUUGAGCAUAAAAUGGAAAAAAAAAAUCUCGAGAGAGAAGAGCACCCAGUGAAUUCUACAUUUUCUUUUUUGUGUUUUGACUGGCGGUGGUUGGAAAAAAAAAAAAAUCUAAUAAGAGUCAGCCGGUGGUGGGAACAGAACAGCAGUACAUAAUAAGUACUUGAGUCUCAAAAGUAAUGCAAAGCCGCGUAUUGUAAUAAAAAAAAAAGUCCCUGUUGUAGCGUGUUCUGUUAGUGCGAUUCGGACAGCUGUUUUUAUUUCAUCACGCUAUUUUACGCAAACAACUGGCCACAGCUGAAGCUGAACUAACUGGAGCUUCCCAUUACUUUCCUCUGCUUUCGUUAUACUCACCUUCACCAGCUCAAUCAAGCUAUAAAUACCAAACCCUGGUGAGAUCCCAAACACACUCAUCGCUUCACUUUCAAAAAUUUCAAACUUCUCUCCAACUCAAAUUCUUCUAUCUUGUUGUUGCUCAGACGAAAGCUUCCAUGGCUUCAGUAUUGCAUCUGUCGCUGCUGCUUCUUGGCUCUUUGAUGGUUGCCUCUGCUGGUAACUUCCACCAAGAUUUUGAUAUCACUUGGGGAGACGGGCGUGCUAAUAUACUCAACAACGGCCAGCUUCUUACUCUUUCCCUUGAUAAAGCCUCUGGCUCCGGCUUCCAGUCCAAGAAUGAGUAUCUAUUCGGCAAGAUUGAUAUGCAACUCAAACUAGUCCCUGGCAACUCUGCCGGCACUGUCACUGCUUAUUAUGUAAGUUCCUGCCUUUAUAUGAAUAAACAAUAUGCAUGUUUGAUCAUCACCCUUUAUAUGAAUAAACAAUAUGCAUGUUUGAUCAUCAUGUAUCUGACAUAUAGACCUUUGAUUUUUUGUUCACGCAGUUAAAAUCGCCAGGAUCAACAUGGGAUGAGAUAGACUUCGAGUUCUUGGGGAAUUUAAGUGGUGACCCUUACACUCUGCAUACCAAUGUAUUCACAAAUGGCAAAGGUGACAAAGAACAACAAUUUCACCUCUGGUUUGACCCCACUGCUGACUUUCACACCUAUUCUAUCCUCUGGAAUCCUCAGCGCAUUGUGUAAGCAAUAUUUUCCUUCAAUCUCCAUCAUUUCUUCUUUCCUUGUCAUUCAAUCUGCUUAGACUUAUCAAUGUUUACUUAAUUUUCAGCUUCUCUGUGGAUGGUACUCCCAUAAGAGAGUUCAAGAACUCAGAGUCAAUUGGAGUUGCAUUCCCAAAGAAUCAGCCAAUGAGAAUAUACUCAUCUCUCUGGAAUGCUGAUGACUGGGCUACAAGAGGUGGCCUUGUCAAGACAGAUUGGACGCAUGCUCCCUUCACGGCUUCCUACAGAAACUUCAACGCUGAUGCCUGUGUCUGGUCUAAUGGAAAAUCUUCUUGCGCUUCAAGUUCACCUUCCUCUCCAUCCAGCAGCAGUGCCUGGUUCUCACAAGAGCUUGAUUCAACAAGUCAAGAAAGGCUGAAAUGGGUGCAGAAGAAUUACAUGAUUUACAAUUAUUGCGCUGAUGCAAAGAGAUUUCCCCAGGGACUCCCUGCAGAAUGCAGAACCUCUUAGAAGUUUUGCAAAAUCAACACAUACAUCAAAAAAAUUUAUUCUUUUUGUCAAUUCUUUGAUUCUUUGUUGUAUUUUGUCGUCAAUAAAAUGGCAAAUUAGUCCAACUUUCUCAAUGUAAUACAAAAUUUAGCAUAUAAAUAUCAUGAGAUUAUGUUCUCUACUCUUCGCAUGCUUGCUAUAUGUUCUUCUUUGGCUAGGUUUUAACGUAGAAACGACCAAACCUCUUCACAUAUGCAAUGGUACUCUAAAUUUUUGACUGACUUAACGGGUAAGGACUAGCAAAAUAUUCUAUUGCCAUUAAAACGACUUCUCUCAUUUGGGACUUUUAUCAAACAUCUUGCAAGCAAACGAUUAAAAUUCACCGACACCCACUCCGAGAUUUUUUUUUUAAUGUCCUGUUAAAAUAGUACACCCAACAGUAACAUGACAAUAAAAAGAUAAAUCAAGAACAAAUACAAUCACAAUUGUAUCCAGUUAUUUAAUUCUUAUAUUCAUCUUUGAUUCUUUCAUGUAGUAUUCAUGCAUGUUCACAAAUUUAGGAUCCAAGCUUUAUGGCAUUUUGGGAUUGAGCAUCUUCUUGAUUGGGGGCGUGAACGGUUAAUACACCUAAUAAUUGCAACCUUUGGUUUUCUCAAUCAAAUAAUAAUAAUAAUAACAUAAAGGGACUUGGAUGUAAAUAGAACAUACAGUAUGGACGUCCGACGUCCCCAGAUUUUACAUUUUUGGUGAAUUUCAACAAUUACCAAAAAGAUCAAAUAAUAAUAAUAAUAAUAAAUGAAAAGAUAUAUAUUUAUUUCUAAAAGAACAUUAACUAAGCUCACCAUGUUUGUUAAAUUUGUCAAUUAUCAACAUUUAUGCUAUACAAAUCACAAACUUCAUAACUGAUUCAAGUCAUAUAUUAAUGCAACAAAUAAAAAAAUAUAAUAAAUUUAAAAAAUAAUAAUAAUAAAUUAAAAUAGAAAAUUAGAACGAUAGCACGUAAAAGGUUGAUUAGUUGAGAUGAAUAUGAUAGUCAAAUGUUAGAUGCUGGCAAUGAAGUUUAUAGGGAAGAUUAGAAUAAUAUUCCGAGUAGAUAUGAGAGAAAUUUUUUUUGGGUGAGUAUCAUUGAUUCAAUAUCUAUUAGUUUUGAAGUUUGAAAUAGAAUGAAUAGAAUACUAGAUGUUUUAAAAUCUAACAUUUAUAAUUUUAAUAGAGUAGUUAUUUUUGGGAAAGGGAAAACGUUGAAUUUUUUUCUUGUAAUUAUUAACCAAAUAAAGUUUCAAAGGCUUAGAAUAAUUAUUAUACCAUAAAUAUCACAUUUUUAUAAAAAAAAUUAUUUUUAAAGUAAAGAUUAUUAAAUAUAGAGAUAAUUAUGAAUGAGAAUAAUAAUAGGGAGAUUCCUAAAAAUUAAAUUUUCCUUCAAUAUAUACGCAACUUUAAAAAAUUAGAAUCUUAAAAUAAAUAUUAUUAUUAUGUUAAUAAAUAGCUAUUCAAAAUACAAAACCAGCCGACUACCUAAUUCGGAUAGUGCUAAAGGCAUCCCUCACUACUAAUUAGCUUACAUUUUAUCAUUUAAUGUUAUGUUAUACAAGACAGCUCCUGUACCUAGGCGCUAAAGUUUUUGGAACAGCCAGCUUUAAUGGACAGCGCAUUCUUUGGGAAAGCCCUGGGGAAAUCGCUUGGUGUCAGUGCAGUAAUUGUAAAUCAUGUGAUUCUUCCGCACCCAGUAAAGCCUCCGUUGGUUUGUGGAAUCCAUUUGUUGCAAGAGCCAGGCACGGCUACCAUCAACCUUGAAAUUUCUGUAAGAAGCAGUGAAAGGAGCUUGGCUCCAAUCCGUCUUGAUUAGCCCACCUCUUGUAGCCCAGUCAUCAGCAUUCCAAAGAGAUGAGUAUAUUCUCAUUGGCUGAUUCUUUGGUAAUGGAACGCCUAUAGCCUCCAGGUUUCUGAACUCUCUAAUUGGAAUACCAUCAACAGAGAAGCUGAAAUAAUGCAAUUAAUUGAACAACACAAGUCAAUAAAAUUGUAGAAGCGAAUGACAUACUAAUAAGAGAGAAAUGGACUUUACACAAUGCGUUGAGGAUUCCAGAGAACUGAAUAAGUGUGAAAGUUGACUGUGGGGUCAAACCAGAGAUGAAAUUGCUGCUCUCUGUCACCCUUGCCUUGGCUGUACACAUUUGUGUGAACUGUGUACGGAUGACCACUGAGGUUUCCCAAGAAUACAAAGUCUAUCUCAUCCCAUGUUGGUCCUUGUGAGCGUAGCUACAACAUCAAAGACUCUCAUAAUUAAUAUUAAUUAGCAUCAUUACAAAGAAAUCAAUGAAAACAGCAGGUGUUGAUAAAAAGAAAAGCGUACAUAAUAAGCAGUGACAGUGCCAGCAGAGUUGCGAGGGACAAGCUUGAGUUGCAUAUCAAUCUUGCCGAAUAAGUAUUGUUUCUUGGACUGGAAGCCUGAGCCAGAGUAAUGGUCGAGAUUGAGAGUAAGCAGUUGGCCGUUGUUGAAUAUUUUCCCAUGACCAUCUCCCCAUGUGAUAUCAAAUUCCUCAUUGAAAUUACCAGCAGAAACAGCAGCUAAACGCCCAACAAAAGUACACAUCAUCACCCCAAACGAAUCAGAACCCAUAUCUUUCAGGAUUUUGGGAUCUGGAGCUCGCUAUACUGAAUAGUGCAUAAAUUAUUACUAGUUUUGCAUGGAUGUAAUGUAAUAUUAUAUAGGGGAUUGGAGUAUAGAAAUGGACAAAAGAGAGUGAAGAAGAGGGUGCGUUUGGAUGGUUGUUUCAUGUUUGCCGUUUCUGAGAGUGCAAAGUUGUCAACAGCUGGCUGUGCCAUGAAUUGAAAGAGAGGCAAAUUUGGCUGUUUCUCAUUUGCAGACAGAUUAUAUGACAUGGCCCCAAAUUCCAAAUGGGGUUCGGUGCCUGCAUGCAUACCCACUUGAUCUUGAAUUGCGAUCAUGAUUAUCCGGUACUCGCACAUAUCUAUGUAGAUACGGGUUUAGGUUGUACUUUUGCUUCUGCCGAUUCCACCACCACAGUCCUUGGGGCUCAAUCCCGCGUCAAAUUCUUUCAAGCAUUUGACAGACGGUCGGUUAGUCAUUGUCGUACUUGUGAACAGGAUCAGGUCAAGGAACGGGGGUCCAUUAGAUGACUACGAUACAAAAGGCCAGCUGGUGAUAUAUCAUCUAAAACAUUGUUACUCGAACACAAUCUAUCCUUGAAAAUAAACCAGAAUAUCAUCCUUCUAUUGAAAUGCUGUCAAAUACAUUGUUGCCCACUUUCCAUUAAUUACCUCGAGGGUUGGGGAACAGAUUAUGUUGUAUUGUAUUCGUUCUCUUGGUUUGUACUUUUUAAUUUUCUUGCAACAGUAAGCCGAGAUAAAGAGAUUUGAUUCUUUAUUUAAACAAAAAAAGGAGAGAAACCAGAAUGUAGGUCCAAAGAAUAAUGACAGUUGAGUACGAAGUCUGUUCAUGCAACCCACAAAUUGAUUCAUAAAAUUUUUUUAACCUUUCUUAUAACAUGCAGUAGUCUUUUUAUAGUGUGGACAUCCUUAUUUUAUUUUCAUGCGAAUAUACUUUAAAACCGUAGAAUUUAAGAAAAUUAACUUUUAACUCACUUAAGCCCUACGAUUUUACAGUUCAUUUAAAAACUAAAUCUUUUAAACAACACAGUAUAAAAGUGUAUCCGUAUUAAAAAAAAUACGGCGUCCACACCUGAGAAUGAUUAUAACAUGCAGUAUCCCAAAAAAAAUUGGUAUUAAUUUCAAGACAUUCAAAGUGUCAGUUCAAACAUAUUGUAAAGGAAAUUACACUUUAACACUCUCUAGCACUCUCUUCCAGCAUCUUGGCUGAAGCUUUCUCAAAAGACCCUGGCCGGCUUUGCCUUAAUAAACAAGUCGUUGAGGCAAAUUAGGACAUUGUUGGCGCAUGCUUUGGGUUCAGUGAUUAGUUAAUUACGUAUUAUAUAACUCGUCUUUCUUAACACUUGGUGACAUGUUUCCUGUGAGCAGUAUCAUAACGGUAUAAAUUUUCAAUGUAAUAUACAAUCUCCCCAUGCAUGGGCGGCUACAUGUGACUUGGAUAAAAGCCAUGGCGAAAUGAGAUUAUGGAUUGCUCUGCAUGAGUUAGGAAAGAAAAUUCUUAGGGUAAUUGAACACUGAACAAAAUCUGAAUAUUGUUCGAUUUGAGGAAAACAAUCAACUUUGUUAAAUUUUUUGCAGUUAUCUUUGGAAGAAGUUUGGGAUACUUAUGCAAAUCAUAAAUGGCCCAUUAGAGCUCGGCCUGCAAGGUUCAUGAUUCUUGAACUAAUUUCAUUUGGGCCUAGCAGGGACCUGAUGAGUCCUUAAUAUCAAUACCUACCCAUUUCUUCUUGAUAAUUGGCAUAUAUAAUAAGGGUAAAUAAUAUAUUAUAUUACUUUGUAGAAUAAUUAUCUAAUGAUGAGGAUGCCAACCGAAGUCCAAAAUGAAAAAAUAAAAAGAAAAAUGAAUUUUGAUGAAACCAUCCUACAUCAUUUAUUACUAUUAUUUAGAUGCAUCAAGUGGGAAGCGAUAUUCUUAUGUUAUAUGAUUGAUGGCAAUCAAGAAACCCUAUUGAGAAAAGUAGAAGAAAGAAUAAAAAUAUAAUUGAAAUACGAAUUUCCAAACACUGAAUGGAUUAGAAAAGAUUCAUCGUCCUAAUUUUUGUUGGUGCAUUCUUGGGGGAGGCACUGAGGGAACCAACUUGUGUCUGCGCAAUAAUUGUAAACCAUGUAAUUUUGCUGCACCCAUUUUAGCUUCCUUUGGCUUGAAGAGUCGAGCUCCUGUGAAAACCAUGUAUUUUUAGUUGCGGGAUUCGAGCUGCAAGAAGAUAUUCCGAUGGACAAAACACAAGCUUUUGCAUUGAAGUUUCCGAAGGAAGCAGUGAAGGGAGCCUGAGACCAGUCUGUUUUCGCCAGGCCCCCUCUUGUAGCCCAGUCAUCGGCAUUCCACAGGCUAGCAUACAUUCUCAUUGAUUGUUUUUUGGGAUACGGAAUGCCGAAUGAUUCGAGAUUCUUGAAUUCUCUGAUGGGUCUGCCAUCGAUAUAGAAGCUGAACAAAAAGAAAAUGUAAUAAAAAGUUAAUGCGAGCUUGAUAAAAUUAAAUCCAGGAUUCGAAUUUCGCUCACAUCAGGGUUGUGUAUGUACUAACACAAUGUGACCUGGAUUCCAGAGGAUUGAAUAAGUGUGAAAAUCGGCAGUGGGAUCAAACCAGAGGUAGAAUUGUUGCUCUCUGUCACCUUAUCCUUGUGUGUAGACAUUUGUGUGAACAAUGUAAGGGUUGCCACUCAAAUUCCCCAGGAAUUCGAAGUCUAUUUCAUCCCAUGAUGCCCCUGGAGAUUUUAGCUGCACCAUAGCAAGUCUACGUAUCAACAUAAUGAUGUGACGACUGACAAACAAAUUAUAUGUGAAAGGGAAAAAGAAUCUUUCAUUAAGGAGCUUACAUAGUAGGCAGUGACAGUGCCAGCAGAGUUGUUGGGAACAAGCUUGAGCUGCAUAUCAAAUUUUCCAUAGAAAAAUUCAUUCUUAGACUGGAAGCCAGAGCCAGAUGCUUUGUCGAGAGACAGAGUAAGAAGCUUGCCUUUGUUGAGAAUCUUGGCACGUCCAUCACCCCAUGUAAUAUCAACAUCUUUGUUAAAAUUACCAGCAUUUGCAACAAUGAAAGAGCUUGUGACAAUAAAAGAGAACAAGAAAAUUGGAUAAGAAGAAUAAGAAUAGCAAGGCAUUGACUUCGGGAACGUUAUGCAACUUAGUUUGACACACUUGAGAAUACUGAGUUCCAGGCUAUUUAUUGGAGCUGCUGGUUAGUGCAUCGAAUGUUCGCCAAAUAUUGAAAUGUAUAGUUGGUUGGUGGGGUGAGUUGAGAACUGAACAGCUGGAUAGCAAAAACAAGUGCACAUUGAAAAUGGGCAUCUUUGUCAUAACUUUAAGCCAGUCAAAUUGCUUGCGGGCAUUAUUUUACAGGAGAGAUGAGCAUAGUUGCUACUUGCUUCCUAGGUUAUUUCCACCUACUCCUGAGCAUUUGGCAUAUCCACCGACAAAUAAUGCGAUGCCACUUCCAUGAAAAUUUGUUUUCUAGUAUGUUCUAGUGGACACCCAGAAGUUGCCAGAUCAAAGAGAAAUGGUUUUGGAUUUACUAUAUUGUAGCAUUAGAUUUCCCCACUUCCCUCUUAGGAUUCUGAAAACAUCGAGGGAGACCAUGAAAGUUUUUAAGGCUGAAAAAAUAGGGCAUACCCCAUGGAAAAUGUAAUAGCAUUAUAUAUAUCCAGAAGAAACAGCAGCUGCCAGAAGCUUGUAACCCUAUGUCAACAAAAUAUAAAGUAACCAAAUGGGCAACUCAUAACCAUUAUAAUUGAACCAAAAGAAUUUCAACUGGAUCCCCCAUGGCAUAUAUCAAAACAAACCAAAAAUCUAUACUUUUAAUGACAUAGGAAGCGGGAAUAAUAUUUAUGAAUCAGUGUGAUUUAUAAAAGGAUAGCCACAUCCACCUUAUUUAAAAAUUUGCAUGGCAAUCAAGACAAAUUUAAAAUCUAUCAACAUGAGGCACUUGCAAAGUGAGAGAAAUUGGGUCCACAACUAAAAUAGAAGAUAGAGUCCUCUAAGAAAAUAAUCCAUUAAUCGUCCUAGAGAAAAAUCUAUGGAAAUGUUCACGUCAAGCACAAAGUUAGUAGUAACUAUGACUACGUUUUCAAUCAACAAAUCUGUCAAAGCCAGUCAUCAUCGAUCAUCGAAGGAUAAAAAAAUGGCAGAGUUAGAAUUUCCGGGAGUUAUGAUAAUCCGGAUCAAAGCAAUUGUCGUCAGAAGGGUCCUUCAAAAAAUCAUCCGGGGGACAUUCAUUUAACUGUUCAAAUUUCAUAUCGCUCUCCAAACCUUGAAAUGGUCUUGCUGCUGCAGCUGAUGAUGAUUCUGCCACUUGAUUAGAAGUAGCAAACAUAUGAUGAUGAGGAUAUGUCUGGAAAGGUCUUGCUGCUGCUGAUGAUGAUAUUUCUGCAGGUUGAUUAGGAUUCCGAUUUGAAGUAGCAAACAUAUGUUGAUGAGGAUAUGCCUGGAAAGGUCUUCCCCUUGCUGCUGCUGAUGAUUCGGCAGCUUCAUUAGGAUUCUGAUUAGCAGUCGGAAUCAUUAUAUGUUGAGUCCAUGGAGAGCUCUGCCCCAUAGAAUUGUUAUACGAAUAAGGAGCAAUUGUAGGGAACCUCCCCUGAGAAACUGAAACUGAAACAUUUUGAUUUGUCAUUCCAGGGAACCUUCCUUGAGAAUCUGAAACAUUGUGAUUAGCCAAUCGAGGGAGCCUUCCUUGAGAAUAGGGAACAUUGUGAUUAGGCAUUCCAGUGACCCUGCCUUGAGCAUAUGGAACAUAGUAAUUAGGCAUUUCAGGAACCCUGCCUUGAGAAUAUGGGACAUUGUGAUUAACAAAGUGGCUCUGAUGAUAAAUGAAAGUAUCAUCAUAUGAAUUGAGAAAUCCUCCCUGAUUGUAGAAACCAGACAUAUCAAUGAUUCGAGGACCUUCAGGACCGUGAGGCAUGAAAGUUUCAUUGGGCAGCGUAGCAGAGUCUUCAACUCCCAUAUCAAUGGCUCCAUUAUCCUGAAAUUCAGUGUCUGAUUGUGGAUCAUCUUGGCCUGAAAUUGAAUCAUCCUGUCGCGAAGUUGAAGGUCUUGAAGACGACAGCUUAGAUCUAUCCUGGUCCCUUUUCUUAUAUAUCUUACACAGUACCCAAUCAUCUAACUGCAAUCAACAUAAUAUAUAAAAGCAAAACUCAUCAGCAAACCAACAUUGUAAAAUUGCUGCAACACAUCACAUAUGACACAGAAAGAAGCUACAAAAUUUAGUUACCCUCAUGUCAUCUCCACUGAUUCUGGUCCUUGGAGGACCCUCCAAUCUAAAUUCAUGCAUUAUCCAUUCAGUUUUAUCUCCCCUUGGGGGUUUUCCCAUGUAGAAGACCAAUGCCUUCUUGAAUCCAACGACAACGUCGUCGUUUUUGAUAGGUUUGUCAGCUCCAGUUGCCUUCCAGAAUCCAUCUCCAGCAGCUCUAUUGGGUCUUGUCCCGUUUUUGUACUUUCUCUCUCUUGGAGUAAAAAAGUACCAUUCAUUCUCACCAAACGGCUUAUACUUUUCUGUGCAUUAUUAAUACAGAAUCAUCAUUGUAUCAAUCACCCAAAAAAAAAAAAAAGAUCUACACUUCCUGAUUCCAUUAUAUGGAAUACGGAAUAAUAUCAACAUAAAUAUUUAUAGUCUUUGUUUUGGAUACAUACAAGCACCAAACUACGAGACCAUAUGUAGAAAAUUAAAUCAGCAUUCAACAACGCAAAGAAGUAACUUUUAACUCAAGAAACUGAAGAGCAGACCAUUUUAUUUCAAGAAACUCAAGAAAUGCCCACUCCAAUUACAAAUGAACUCAAGAAAAGCGCUAAGAGCAUUACCAAAGUACGAAAACAAAUCAAAUUAUGAGACUAUAUGUAUAACGAACGCAAAGGAAACACUUCUAACUCAAGAAACUAAACCAUUUCAAGAAACUCAAGAAGUUACACUCUAAUUAAUAACCAAAUGAACUCAAGAAAAAGAAAGAACUUAAUAUGCGUAAGUGCAUUACUUAAUUUAAAGAAAAAUACCAGCAAGGCAAUUGCAAAAAAACAAAAGAAACAAAAAAGAGAAAUGGGGUGGUGGGUAUUUUUAACCUGAAAGUGUAUCAGGAUUAAAUUUGUACAAGUGAACUUCCUUAAUCCGAUUUGGUGGCAAAGGUUCAUUCAUUCUCUUCCUCCGCAAGUAAUGAACUAGAAGCUCUAUGUCGUGAGGCUUGAACCUGUAACCAGGAGGAAAGUUAUCAUCGAACUCAGGACCCUUAGCAGCAUUCAUCCGAUUCCGCACAGGUGGUGAAGCAUCACGAGUAUGAUCUAUAGGCCUUUUUCCUUUAGGGCCUUGGCCAUUAGGGUUUUUACCAUUGCGGUCUUGGCCGUUAGGGUCUUGGUCCUUAUCUCCCUGCUGCUGGUCCGGCAUUGAUAACUUUUACCGAAACUUGAAGGAGACGCUGCUUUCCCUAUAAAAUUGACCUCACAAGAAUAUUUGUUGUGAUCAGAUACAUCAAGAAUAUUUGUUGUGAUCAGAUGCAUGGGGGCUGUUAGGGCCCUAAUAGUUUAUUUUAUUUUAAUUGCUUGUUUUAAUUUCUUUCCUAUUAGUAUUAGCUUUUCUUAUUUCAAUUAAAGUCCUUAUUAAAUUACAAUUAGGAUUGUCUUGAACUACUAUAAGUAAGUGGUUCUUAUUAUGUUUUUAGGACGCAAGUAAUAAAAUUAAUUUUAAUUCCUAUUAAUUCUUCUCCCUUCUCUUUAACUUCUUCAUCUAUUCUCUCUUAAUUCUCUAAUCAAAACCCUAGAAUCCUAUUAGGGGCUUAUUUUAUACUAAUUUAUUUGGAUUAUAUAACAUUAAAUAAAGUAGAUACUUUUUCUAACUGAUCGGUUUAUCAAACGGUUUUCGGAAGGCGAUUUAUCCUUUGGAUUCAGUUAAGAUGCCAAUCUAUCGGUGGUCAAUGAUUUGAUGGUUAUGAUUGAGUUCAAUGAUUCCAGAAUGUGUGCUUUAGUAGCUGUCAUUGAAGCUGAUGUGGCGAAAUAUGAUAGUUUCUGCUGAUGUAGUUGAUUGAGAAGCAGUAAAAUUCUUCAAAGUAGAAGUAGAAUAGAAGUUAUUUCACUGCCUUAUCUUUUAGCAAAAUGAGAGAAUAUAGGAUAGCUUCUUGUUCAUUUAAUGCAAUCCUUAGCAUAAUCCGACAUAUUUGCUCCUUUCCAGCACUGUAGCUGCAGUAGUUCCGCGGAAUUUAAAAAAAAAAAAUCGAUACAUGAACAAGAGGGACAAACGAUAUAACCCGGUUUUCUAUUUUUAUUAACAUAUUUUUAGUUCUCCAAAUUGAUCUUACAUUAGCUAUAUACAUAAUUUAAUGUAAUUCUCGAUAAAUAGUUGGUGCAUGUAAUUUCAUAAAUAUAUAUUUCAAUCGAGUUAACUUAAUAAUAGGGAUGAAAAUGAAGAAUUAGGAGGUCUAGUAUGGAUUAUUUUGCAGGUGGCACUACAAGGAGGAGGAGUUUUAUGUGAUCACUCCGCAGUCACAAAUGACCUUUUUGUGACUGCUUUGUGGCAGUAACAAAAAGUCAUUAACGCAGGCGUCCCGAAAGUUUUGUUACCGCAUAGUCGCAUACUUUACUCCAGCCUGUUUUCUGCAGUUAUGUCCUUGCAGGGCGUUUAUGGGCAAUUUUGUCAUCCAAAAUAUUGAGUAAAUAUGUUAAGAACUUGGCCCAAAAAUUAACUCGCACGGCCCAGUAUGAGUGCUGUGGUUGGACUAACCCCGGCAUCCGAAUUAAUUUUCCACAUUAAAAUUUUGGAAAAAAAGAAAAAGAAAAAGAAAUUGAACAUGUUUCCUCCCAAGGAACUUGUUAAUUGAUGGCAGUCGAUUCUGACUGCAUUUUCUCACAACUUCGUUCUCAAACAUUUCAUAUGCGAAUUGUGGCUGGGAUCUGAUAUUAAUUUAUUAAGUUUGGAAUUUAGUUUGUAGUAAGAUAACAUUUUUUUUUAAAGUCUGAAAUUAGAAUGAAUCUGAAUUUUUCAGAAGUUUGAAUGGAUUUAAAUAAAAAAAAAUUGAAUGAAACGUUUAGAUUUCUUUUUUUUUUUUAAUAUAUGAGUAUAAAUGACAUCUUAUUUGUUUUUAUAACAAAAAAAAAAGGUUUUAAACUUGAUUCUUUGAUAAUUAUAUCCUCAUAAAUUAAAACAAAAAAGGAUUAGAUCUUAUAGUUGAGGAAAUAAACUAUUUUAUACAGAUAUUUUUGGAAUAUAAUAUUUAUUUUUCAUGCAAACCUUUUCCAUUCAAAUAAAAGAUAUAAAAAUUUAUUUUUUCCAUUCAAAUGUAAAUAUCUAAAAAUCAGACAUAAAUCACAAAAACAAAUAACAAACUUCUAACGUUUGAUAAACAAUCUCUAAGUUAUAUUUUCUCGUGCAUUGAUCAGAGAAAAUGCAUAUGACAUUUGCUAAAGGAAACUCAAAAAGGUUUUAAGCUUUUAACAUUACUUUCAAAGGCCAUUCUGCAGCUCCGUUAGUUCAUCAUAUCACACGGCUUCAUAAUUUCUAUAGAUUGAAUUGAGUUUCUUGUUUCUCCAACUCAAAUUUUUAGUCUCCUUUAUGAUAGGGUUGUGGUGGUAGGGAUAAAACAUUGCGCUCUAUCUUAAAGAAUAUUUAGUUAUGAACAUCUAAAGAGAUCGAGGAGAAAAAUUUAUCUCAAAAUGACAAAAAGAAGAAAAAAUAAAAGUACAUCGGAGGUACAUCGUUCAUAAAGAAUUUAAAAAUCAUAGAGCUUCAACAAUAUAUAGUAGCCGUGCAGUUUAUGCUCCUUUUUGUGAUAUAUAUGGCUUAUUACAUUCAUAACAAAUUGUUCCGUUACAUUUUUUCUAUUGGGAUUUAAGGAAAAAAAAUUCUGAAAACAGCUCUUGAAUUGGAAUUAAGAGAGAUAAAAGAAACAACUCAAGCUUUGAGGCAAACAAAGAAUAUGAUCGUCACGUAAAUAAUUUGGUAUUCUAGGAAACUAUGUAUAUAAUUUUAGUGAUUAGAAAAUCUUGUUCAAAGAGCGUUACAACUGAAAACUGUGAGAAAUAAUCAGUUGUACUGUCAAAGUUGAGUUACAAAUAUUUUAAAUAUUUUGAUAAUGGUAACAGAAUUAGUACCAAAAAGCUAAAGCAAAUGGAGCCUUAGCAUACCACCCAUAGAAAUAGCAACUCUCCUUGAAUAUCCAUGCUGCUGACAUUCAUAUAAAUAACAAUCAAAGUACACAGAAUUGCAAGAAAAAUUGAGUUCAAGAAAACCGACCUCUACUAAAGUACACUCUAACUAACUUAUUAUAAAUGCCAAUUAAUGUCAGCUACCAUUAACUAAUCGAAUCACAAAAUGAAAAGAGUUAUAAGUUCGUAAAAUUAUGAGGUAGAGGAUCAAAACAAUUGUCUUCCGAAGGGAGAUCACUAAACACAUCAUCGGGCGGAUAUCCGAACUGUUCAGGCUUCAUAGGGCUCUCCCACGUAGGAUUAUGAUGGAGCAUUUGCUGAAACCCCGACUGAGGGAUUAAAGGAAGCCAAUUCUGAGAAUUACCCUGAUGACCAUCCUGAAAAUUAGCAUAUGGACUCUGACAAGAUAAAAGGACAUUAUCAUAUGCGCUGAAGAAUCUUCCCUGGUUGUAGUAAUCAGGCACAUCAAAGAUUCCAAGGCCUUCAGGCUUGAAAUUUUCUGUUUUGGGCAGCAUUUUAGCCUUUUCAUCAACUGAAGUUUGUCCACUAUCUUGAGAUUGAGUUGCAACUUCGCUUCUUGAUUGUUGAUCCUCCUCUGAAUCCUCUCGUUUUCGAGUAGAAGCUUUGGCUGACUGCUUUGUUUUCUUAUAGAUCCUACAGAGAACCCAGUCAUCUAACUGCAAGGGACUUGUAUGAAGCAGAAAUUAGUCGAAUAAAACCAAAAAAAAGAAUCAAAUAAAAAUGAAUUUGGACAACAAGGAAAAUCAUUUACCCUCAUAUCAUUUCGGCCUUUUUGUUUCUGUGGUGGAUUAUUCACUAUGUAUUCAUGCAUGAUCCAGUUAGUCUUAUCACCCUUUGGAGCUUUUCCCUUGUAGAAGACCAAUGCCUUCUUGAAUCCAACCAAACUGCCAUUGUGCUUAACAGGUUUAUCAGCUCCUGUGGCCUUCCAGUACCCAUCUGCAGCAGCUCGAUUGGGUCUUAGACCAUUUCGAUAUUUUCUAUCUCUUGGUGUAAGGAAAUAACAUUCCAUUUCACCAAGUGACUUGUACCUUUCUGUAAAUCAUUGCAUCAGUGGACAGAAUAAAAGAAAUUUCAUAAAGAUAUCAUGAAACAAAAAAAAUGUAGACAAACUAAUACGAAAGAAAUAACAUAUUAUAAACGUUUUCAAUAUGAGGGGAUUAAAUUUUAUAUGCUGAUUUACAACACCAUCUAAAUCUAAAAUCAUACCUGAUGUAAAAUCGCAUCACAUUAAAAUAUACACUGUAAUAUUAUAUAUGUAAUGGCAUAAACAUCUAUCGUGAAAAAGAGUAGAGAAGCCACAAAUAUCCCAAGCGAAGACUACAAAAUUUGAAUAAUAAAGAGUAGAGAAGCCACUAACGAGACUCAGAAAAUUUCCAUUCUAAUAAAUAAUAAUCUCGAGAAAUAAGGAAUAAACAGAUUUUUUUAUAAAAAAAAUUAAUCAUAUAUGAUGCGUGCCAAUAAAACAACAUACAACACAGAAAUUGAGAAAAUAAGAAAUUAAAAGUGACUUUUUUUUCCCCUAACCUGUAAGUGUGUUAGGAUUAAACCUAUACAACUCCACCACCUUGAUCUGGUUUGGAGGCAAUGGCUGAUUCAGUAUCUUCCUCCGCAAGUAAUAAACCACAAGUUCUCCAUCGUGGGGUUUGAAUCGGUAACCAGGCGGGAAUGAAUCAAAAUAAGAAUCAUCAGCGAUCAGAUGAUGACCAGUACUCUUCACAGGAUGCCGUACAAGUGAAGCAUCAUCAUUUUGCUUUUUAGGGCUUUCUCCAUUAGGGUUUUCUCCACAAGGGUUUUGACCAUUAGGGUUUUUCCCUUCAUCCCCCAGCUGCUCCUUCUGUUUUUGGUCCUUCAUGCAGGACGUAGGAAAAUGAUGCAGAUGAAAAAUGGACCAAAUAGAAGUGAUAGCUAGCUACUUUGUUCGUUGUGAUAAGAUUUAUGUGACUUCAUACAAAUAUUUUGGGACAUCAGGUAGCUAUUAUUUCUAAUUUGAUUAAUUGAAGUUUUACUUUUGUGUUUAUCAAAUAAGUGUAAAGUUAUCUUUUUGCCACGUGUAAAUGAUGCUGGAGCCUAAGAUGUCGGGGAAACGUGGCGGUGAAUUUCAGUUGAUGGAGCUAAUUUGGAGGAGUCAAUAUCUGUCAACACAUUUAAAGGUAAAGUUUAAUUUCAAAACAUUAAANNNNNNNNNNNNNNNNNNNNNNNNNNNNNNNNNNNNNNNNNNNNNNNNNNNNNNNNNNNNNNNNNNNNNNNNNNNNNNNNNNNNNNNNNNNNNNNNNNNNUAUGUAAAUAUGACAGCUCAAACUAUUCCGAAAUUGUUUUGCUCUUUAUAUUCAUAUCAUCUUGCUAAAACUUUACUAUCAUUUAACAGUAAUUAACGAUGAGCACCAUUGAAUUUAGUUAGAUCAAAUUGUAGGCUAAAUUGAAGUUCUCAAAAUUCAUAUAAACAGAUUAUAUCUAGACACAAUAUGUAAAAAGCUAGCGUGGUUGUGCAACUCAAGAUCCAAUUGAAGUCAAAGGUUUCAAUUUAUAAGAUUCAUUAUGUCUCCUCAUGAAUCAUGACCAAGUAAAUAAUUCUUCUUUUUUAGUUAAAAUUUUCGUAUUGUCAAGAUUACUAGAAAGAAAAGUGAAGAAAUAUAUAUAUAUAUAUUAAGACUUGUUGUUUUAAUCUUAAGAUAAUCAUGUUUACUCUCCGCGAUUAUAAAAGUCAAUAAGUAGCACUAACAUGAAGGAAGUAAAGAUCUCAAGGGCGUUGUUGAAUAGUUUAAAGAUUGGGACCAAUUAAUAACAGGCAUAAACUUGGAUUUAAUUCAAAUAAUAUGUGGGCUCCCGAACCCACGUGGGCCAGUCAAUUUAUAAAGGACUAGGAUCAUCUCCUGAUCUGAUCUUUAUCUGAGCAAAUUAUAUUAAUAUGAUUGGUGAUUAAUAAAUUAAAAAGAAAAAGUAGUUAAAUCAUAAUAAUCCACUAACAUUAAAAUAUAAAUGGCACAAGAUUUGUAAAAUAUUAGGAGUGCUCAGAUCAGAAGAGUAUCAUGGUCCAUUUAGAAAACUUUAGAAUCGUUUAAACAUUGGGUGAGACUAUUGGCACACCUGUUAAUCCUCUUAAAACCCUUAUUCCAACAAAAUUACAAUUAAAGAUAAAUAUAAAUAAAAUUAAUCGCACUUAUAUUUUUCUCUCUCUUGAAUCUAUUUUUAAAAAAUAAAAUUUGAGAGUAUAAUCAACUCUUAAAAAUAACAUCUGGUAAUAUCUUGAACAUCUUUAAACACUAAUUAAAUCCUCAUUUAAUUACCGAACUUAAAACUUAUACCUAAGUUGAAUCAUUUUAUUGUAGCUCAAGAAUAACUAAUAGAGCUCAGUUCUAUUUCCUUUAUGACCCAUAACUAAUUAAAUCACAUUUGCUUCUGCUUAUUUAUCUUACAUUUUUUUAGUUUGGUCUAUAUAAUUGAUUUGCACAAACUCAAAAUAUUAGUAUUUUCUUUUUCUUUCUUUUUUCAUGUUAGUUACUAUUAUUUUUUUGGAGUUAACAUUUUUUGAAUUUUAUUGAGAGAAGGUUUGGAAAAAGGGGUUUAUUAAAAAAAGAUUUUUUAGCAUCAAAUAGAAUAUAUAAUAGACUCUAGUCAAAUUAAUACUCGAUAAAUUGAUAACCUCAACUAAAUAAUAGUUUUUGUCAAUUUCGAAUUGGAGCUAAUGUGGUAAAUUAAUAAAUUGAUAAAUAUAUUAGAUAAUAAAUUUAAAAAAUUUAUUUUUGUAUAGGACCCAAUUAAUAAUUAAUUAAUUUGAAAGUAAAUAUAUAUGAUAUGUUUAUGAUUUUCUUUGUUGUAUUGGCAUAAUAUUUUACGCAUUUCAUUGGUCAAAAUUAUUUUCUUUACACCUUUCAGAUGAGAAGCCAUUGUUGUAUUCUAUGUGUUAUGUUAACAUAAGUAAGAUAGAGAUAAGUUUAAUAUAUUGCCUCAGAAAAGUCUUCUCUAAUGAGUUGCAAAGUAAUCGUGAUCUAGCCAAGUGACUGAUUCACUCAGUCAAAAUCAAAUCAGAAUUGUAUCAUACAGAUACAGUUUGAUAGAAUCACUAUAUUAUCGAAUUAUACUAUUCCUAAACUUCAUAAAAAUUUCUAUUAUGAACGUGAUAUUAUUUUUAUAAAUUAAUAAUUAUUAAUUUAUCGAUAUAUUAAUAUUCACUAAAUUAAUAGACUUUCCAUGAUCCAAAUAUUACUAAUUUAUCAAAUAUUUAUUGUAAAUAAAAAAAAGGAUUUGAAGGGGCGCCAAUGGCUCAACUCUUAGACAUGAAUUGCAAGUAUAAAAGCUAAUUAUUUUCUUUAUUUGCUUAAACUUUUUUCUUUUGGUAGUCCAUGAGUAGGUGUCAAAUUGGUAAGAUUAAUUACACAUACUCUAAUUAUCUUAAGGUGGUAGUACUCCUAAUUAUUGUAUCACUUUUUUUGAAUUUAUGAGAAGGAUUAGUUAAACAUUUCACCCAAAAAGUUAAGCUAUUAAGUAAAGAUUUAACAUUAUUAGUAAAGAAAAGUUUAAAGUUUUAAUAACUUUUCCUCACAUGAAGUCCAUGCGUGCAUAAUCUAUUUUAGACAUAAAGACAUAGUAAGAAAUAGAUGUCUACAGUUAAACUAUCAUGAUUGUUGUCAACUAUUUUUUGGUGUAACAAUUGAUAUCUCUCCAUCUUUUUUGCUUUUUUUCUUUUCUUUUUUUCACAUCGAGCAUUUGAAUCUUCCCAUAUGUAUUAUAAGAGUAAAAUCUGUUUCAAUUUAAGAAUAACCCUCUUAUUUUUAGGGAUGUUCGAGAAUCGAAUUUUGCGGAUUGAACAUCAAUUUAUAUCUGAUUUAUGAUUUUGGAGAUUAUAAGUUUUCAAUCCAAUCCAAUUCACGUAUUGCCGAAAUUCAAUCCAAAUUUAGUCUAUACGUCAACAGAUCGGAUGCGAAUUUGACCCAAUCCAUAUCUAAUCCACCAUUUUACAAAUUGAUUUUGCAGACUAAAUAUUUUUAAUUUUGUCCAAUCCACAUAAAAUAAAAAAAUUAAUAUAUAAAUAAUUUUACUACUGACCAAAUUCAAAAAUCAAUAAGAUUUAAUCAAAUUAUUUAUUAAAAAAACUAGAAAAUACAUUCAAAAUUUCAAAAUUUCAAAAUAUUCAAAUAUAGCACACCUAAAAGAAAAAAUAUCAUUUGUUUAAAUACAUUAAAAUUAACUAAAAUUAUGAAAAUUAACUAUUUAGAAAACUAUAUUUGUUUAUUUAAUUAUUUUUAUUUUAUAUUAUUAUUGGAUAAGAUAUAAUAUGGUGUUAAUGUAAUUAUAUUUUAACUUAUUUAUUUAUUAGUAAGCACUAAUGCCGCAUUUAUAAGUUUUUUUUUAAUUAAAUAAGUUUUUUUUUUUUUUUUUGCGGAUCGUGGAUUUUUGUAGAUUAUAGAAGUAAAUCUAUAUUCAAUUCACCAACUAUAGAUUUUUCAAUUUUCAAUCUAAUCCAAUGCAUCAAUUCACAGAUUAAAUUUUUAUUGAUCAAAUUUUUAAGGAUCAAACAAAUUGAAUUUUGAACACUACUACACAUUUUCUUAAGCAUAUUUUGGGACUAUUCUAAGUACGGAAACUGCUCCAAAGUCAUCCUAUUCACAUAGGGUUGAGCCCAUCCGGUCAGUAGAUGCGGAAACUAUGUAGACUGUAGAGUGGUCAAAAGGCACCCAUCAGCCAAAAUUUCAACGUGUUAAUAAACCAUGCUUAGGGCUGUCACUUGUGUGACAUGCAUAAAUCCGCAUUUUCGCAGUUUCUUUUCACUAAUUUCAGUCUUUGCCAUCUGUUUCCCGCUCUUGCUCUUUGCCCCACAAGUGCUAGCCUAAUCCUUGACUCUAACUCUUCCCCAUCAUCUAUCGUAUCUCUUAAAAUUUUCAUUUUUCUUUUUCCAAAUGGCAAAUCGCUUCUUUCUUUUCGUCUCUAUAAAAAUCCAAAACUAUAACAAAAUUUUAAAUAUCGCACAAUGGCUGCGGCUAAAUCACUAGUAGUGCUGAUAAUGCUGUCUGCUUUAUUAUCUAACUCUUUUGUGUUAGUUUUACCAGCUAGUAAUUUUUAUCAAGAUUUUGACAUCAUAUGGGGAAUUGACAAGGUCAGGAUUCGCAACGAUGGAGAAGUCCUCAAUCUUUACCUUGGCAAAGACACAGGCUCAGGUUUCCAGUCCAAGAAUGAGUAUCUAUUUGGCAAAAUUGACAUGCAAUUCAAGCUUGUCCCAGGCAACUCUGCUGGCACUGUCACAUCUUACUAUGUAAGGCGUAAGCUGCCAGUGAUCUUGCACGAAAAUGUUUUUCUCUUUAAGAGUAAGCUUAUUUUUAAUUCUGUGUUAUAGUUGUCAUCACAAGGAUCAACAUGGGAUGAGAUAGACUUUGAGUUCUUGGGAAAUCUCAGUGGCGAUCCUUAUAUUUUUCACACAAAUGUAAUCACACAAGGCAAAGGUGACAGAGAGCAGCAAUUUUAUCCCUGGUUUGAUCCCACUUCAGAUUUUCACACAUAUUCCAUUCUCUGGAAUCCCAAAACCAUCGUGUAAGAAUUUCAAUCCACUAAUCAUCUCUUGUUGAAAACAAGCAACAAUUCAAGUCACUAAUUAAUCCUCUUCUUUUUUUUAUUAGACGUGUCUCUUUUUUUUGGUUUAAUACUUCAUAUAUUCUUUGGGCUCUUUUGGGUUAAAAAGGCUCUCUAACAUUUUUGUUUAAAAACGUUUUCAGAUUCUAUGUCGAUGGCACACCGAUUAGAGAGUUCAAGAACUUGGAGUCAAUCAACAUUCCUUACCCAAAAAACCAACCAAUGAGAAUACACUCGAGUCUCUGGAACGCUGAUGACUGGGCAACAAGAGGCGGUCUUGUCAAAACAGAUUGGACAAAAGCUCCAUUUACAGCUUCUUGUAGAAACUUUAAUGCCAAAACUUGCAUUCGUUACCCAGCAGGUCCAAUCAUUUCUGCGCCUUGCCCUUCGAAUUCUUCAUCCUCUGCAUGGAUGAAGAUCGAUGAGCUUGAUGAAACAAGCAGAGAGAAACUCAAGUGGGUGCAGAAGAAUUACAUGAUUUAUAAUUAUUGUACAGACACAAAGCGCUUCCCAAAAGGGCUUCCUCUUGAGUGUGCUGUGGCCACGAGUGCUUACGUAGAUUCCGCGCGAGUAUAAACAUAUAUAUAAUGACAAUACUUUAUAUCAUAAAUUUGCUAUAGUUAUACAUUACUGCGAUGUUUACUUAUGUUUACUUUCUUGAUUGGAGAAUCGAAAUUAUUAAUAGCAUUUACUUUACAAAAUAAGCAUCAAAAUGAAAGACUAAAAUAAGCAUGAAAAUGCGAGACUAAUUCUCAACGAUCGAUUUUUGGUACUCUUGACUCAUUUCACUCACAAGACCAAAAACUGGGGGACUGGUGUUAAGCAAAUAAAAGCACCAGGUCGGCCAUGCUACUAUUUCCACCCCGGCAUGAAUCACCUCAGCCAAAUGGUACGAGCAGAACAGGGGGUAACAUGAGCUGAUCAGAGACGAAUACCGACCAGAGUCGUAUACCGAGUCGGUACCCGUCCCUCAAAAAGCGGAAACACGAUCCCACAGAAUCGCGGUAGUUGCGCUUUUCCCAGAACCGUUGUGGGAGAUGCGAGAUCCCACGUUUGCCCACAAUGUAGCAGUUAAAAUCCCAUGAGGGGCUGCCACUACCCGAAAAAGGUGGGAUGAAUGGCAAACGGAAACGUGGGGACAACGGCUAUAAAAGAAGAAGAAAUCGGUGAAGAAAGGGGAAAAAAAGAGAGAGAGGGAAAACGCUGCCAAAUUGCAACUAGGCCAUUUCCUUACAAAUUUUUAAUAAGCUCCUGGAAUCCAAAUUACACUGUUUUCCCGUAAACACCUUGUGCUAACUUAGGCAUCGGAGGGUUUACGCCGGCAAAACCACCGGCGUCUCUGAUCCAUUUUUAGUGAGUGCAGGUCUAUUGAGAGAAAGGAGGACGAUUCCAAUCCCAGUGAACGAGCAACAGUAGAUAACACAAACGUUGGUGAAAGAAUCUGGUCGGUCAAGAGGCGAGCAGAUUUCAGCAUCAACACCUUCAUUCAAUUAAAAAAAUUUAAAUAGAAAAAAAAACCACAGCAAACAGUCGCUGUAAAUUGAAGCCUCACCGAUUUUCAUCGUCUUCACCAAACUGUUACUGCAAAAAUCAACGUCAUUGGUCGUCGCUGACCGUUGAGCAGGAGCAAUAGCAACAACGAUCUAGCAACAACAACCAUCACCGAUGAUGAUGUCGACAACGACGAUGAUAUUAUGAUCCAAAUCCGAUUUUGAUUUGUUGUUGUCGUUGAUGAUGAUGAUUUUGAUUAUUAUUAUUGUUAUUAUGAUUUUCAAAUGUAUUAUUAUCAUUAUUAUUGAUAAAAAAAUAUUAUAAUUAAUAUAUUCAUGUUAAUGAUAUUAUUAUUAUUAUUAACAAUAAUUAAUAAUAAUAAUUUCUGAAUAACAAUAAUUACAUUAAUUAAAAUAUAAAAUAAUAAUUAUGAUAAUAAUUAAUUAAAAACUUUUUAGUAAUUUAUGACAGUCUAAUUUAUUAUGACUAAGAUUUCAAGACAAACUAAACACAUCAAUGAUAAUACAAUUUAUUCUAAUUUUGAUUUCUACAGUUAAAGUAAAUAAUGUAGUUUAUUUCAUGCUCAAACUUUAUGUUGUAAUAUCAAAAUAAAGUUAUAAUAAUAGUAUUGAUGUUGUAUCAGUUAUCAUAUGAAUUAAGAUGCGAAUAUGCUAGAAAGGGAUCACGUUGAUAUGGUCUGUGAGAACUUUAGAUGAGUAAAGCUCAAUCUUUUAAGUCUUUUUACAUUAAGUAUAUUGAAUUUAUAAUAAAUCACAUCUGCAUCUUUCCAAUAAAAUUCGUAUUAUAACACUUCUGAUAUAAAGAAUGACAAAUCUGUCUUUUUAUUGAUGACCAAGACUGCAAAGAAUAGCUCUACAGAGAGCAUAUAAUUGAAUGUAAUAAGUUUACACUGAUUUAUCUGUUUGAUUUAAUCACUUCUUUAGGAGAUUUUUUCUUUUCAAAGGAAGGCCUUGAGGAAAUCUCUUUGCGUCGGUGCAGUAGUUGUAAAUCAUGUAUGUCUUUUGUACCCAUUUCAGCCUUUCUUAACUUGUUGAAUCAAGCUCUUGUGAGAACCAGGAGCAGCCGUUGGAUAUAUGGAGAGGAAGGUGAACUUGAAGCACAAGAAGAUAUUCCAUUAGACGAGACACAUGCAUCAGCAUUGAAGUUUCUAUAAGAAGCGGCGAAAGGAGCAUGUGUCCAUUGUGUCUUGAUAAGGCCACCUCUUGUAGCCUAGUCAUCAGCAUUCCGUAGAGAAGAGUACAUCCUCAUUGGUUGAUUCUUUAGAAAUGGCACUCCAAUUGAUUCUGAGUUCUUGAAUUCUCUUAUGGGGGUGCCAUCAACAGAGAAGCUGGAAAUUACAAUGAAAAAAGUUAUAAGUCUAAGCAAAUUAACGACAGGGAAAAAAACAGUACUUACACAAUGCGCUGAGGAUUCCAGAGGAUGGAAUAGGUAUGAAAAUCGGCAGUAAGGUCAAACCAGAGGUGAAAUUGUUGCUCUCUGUCACCUUUGCCAUUUGUGAAUACAUUGGUGUGCAGAGUGUAAGGGUCACCACUUAAAUUGCCCAAGAAUUCAAAGUCUAUCUCCCCGAGUAUUAUCAAAAUCUUGGUAGAAGUUAGCAGAAGAAGCUACAAUUAGAGAGAAAAUCACAAAACUGACCAUCAACAUGGACGGAAUAUAUGAAGAAACUAGAAAGCAAGCCACUGGAAUGUUUUGCAUGUGAAUAGUAUUAGAAAUGUAAAAGAAUCUGAAAUGAUGAAAAGGUUGUGCUUAGUUGGUGUUUUUAUCCUAUAAGUUUAGGCAGAGUUGAACGGAGAGAAGAUACACGGGAAACUUCAGUACGUUUUGGUAAUAGUUGGCAAAGUAAUGUAGCAAAUGACUGUUCAUUAAAAUGGCGCAGACCAAGUUUUCCAGACGCGGUUUUGCUUGAUUUGUUAAUUGUUUAUAAAGAAAGGGAAGACAAGGCGCCGCCUAGUUCCCUUUUCAAAACAAACAUUCAUUUUACAUACAGUUAGGUCCAAGUGAAUGGCAAGCGAAACCCACCACCGUCUCGCGUGUUAGACAACGCCAGUAACAUAAAAUUUGAGUAAUGUCAUGCGGUUAUUGCCAACCCAAUUCGGAUAUUUAGUUUGUCUCCUCCUUAAUAUUACAUUUUAUGUAUCAUUUAUUAAUUAGGUUGAUAACAAAUAAUUAAUAAUAAAAUAAAUAUUAUAUACAUGACAAUAAAAGAUUAAUUUUGGAGUUACUAAAUUAAGAAUUCAAACAGAAUAAAUAUAACAUAAUUGUCACUUGGGUGAACACUGAAUUGCUAGUGAGGAGAAUUUUCAAUUCUGGAAUUUCUUAAUAAGUUCUAUGUUAUUCUUAGUAUUAUUAUAAUAUUAUUCAUUUGCUCUUGCCUUGAGAAUCAAUUAAUAAAAAAAGCUGAAAAUCUGAAGAGAGGGUCGCAUCAUGUGAAUUCAACUGUCUUUAGUAGUGGCGGUGGGAAAAUCUAAUAAGAGUCAGCUGGUAGUGGGACCACGACAGCGGCACAUACUAAACUAAACGGAAGUCGUUUGGUCCCAAAAAUAAUGCAAAAACCGCGUGCUAUAAUAAAAUAUGGCUGGUCGGAUAAUGCUUGUUAGUGCGAUAUGCACAGCUAUUUUAUUAUACUUUUUUCAAGCCAACAACUGUCCACAGCCGAGCUCACUGGACCUUUCCCUUCACUUUCCUCUGCAUUUUACAUUUCCCAUCUUCACCGGCUAUAAAUACAACACAAUGGUCUUAAACACAUUCAUCGCUCCACUUUCGAAUUACAAACUUCUCUCAGUUAAUUCAAACACUACUUGUACCUCGUUUGCUCAAGCAUAUGUCAAUGGCUUCAACGUUGCAUUUGUUUCUUGUGCUUGGCUCUUUGAUGGUUGCAUCUGCUGGUAACUUCUACAAAGAUUUUGACAUCACCUGGGGAGAUGGCCGUGCCAAGAUGCUCAACAAUGGCGACCUUCUUACUCUUUCCCUCGAUAAAGCUUCUGGCUCAGGAUUCCAGUCCAAGAAUGAGUAUCUAUACGGCAAGAUUGACAUGCAGCUCAAGCUUGUCCCAGGCAACUCUGCUGGCACUGUCACUGCUUAUUACGUAAGUUCCUUCUUUUAAUACAACUUAAUCAUACGCAAGUAUUAUGCAUGCAAACUGGGUCGUAGUUGAAUAAUCAUAUGUGAUGAUACAUAUAAAUAUCUGUUUUUUUUUUUUUUUAAUGCAGCUAAAAUCACCGGGAUCAACAUGGGAUGAGAUAGACUUUGAAUUCUUGGGAAAUUUAAGUGGUGACCCUUACACUCUUCAUACCAAUGUCUUUACAAAUGGCAAAGGUGACAGAGAGCAACAAUUUCACCUCUGGUUUGACCCCGCUGCUGACUUUCACACCUAUUCUAUCCUCUGGAAUCCUCAGCGCAUUGUGUAAGUAAUAUUUUCCUUCAAUCUCCAUCAUUAGUUUUUUUUCCUUGUCAUUCAAUCUGCUUAGACUUAUCAAUGUUUACUUAAUUUUCAGCUUCUCUGUUGAUGGCACGCCCAUAAGAGAAUUUAAGAACUCAGAGUCAAUUGGCGUUCCGUUCCCAAAGAAUCAGCCAAUGAGAAUAUACUCUUCUCUCUGGAAUGCUGAUGACUGGGCCACAAGAGGUGGCCUCGUGAAGACAGAUUGGACGCAUGCUCCUUUCACUGCUUCCUACAGAAACUUUAAUGCUGAAGCUUGUGUUUGGUCUAAUGGAAAAUCUUCUUGCGCUUCAAAUUCUGCUUCCUCUACAUCCAGCAACGGUGCUUGGUUCUCACAAGAGCUAGAUUCAACAAAUCAAAAUAGGCUGAAAUGGGUGCAGAAGAAUUACAUGAUUUACAAUUACUGCACUGAUACAAAGAGAUUUCCUCAGGGCCUUCCUGCAGAAUGCAGAAUCUCCUAGAGAAAAUAAUCAACAAGACACUUAAAAAUUAUUUUAUUCUUUCGUGUAAUCAUUCAAUGGUUAUUCAAUUCAUGUAGAUUCUGGAGUCAGAUUCUUUGUUUCUCUGUAAUCAAUAAAAUGGCAUGUUAGUCCAAUUUUUACCAUAUGUAACACUGGUUAAUGAAUUUAAAAAAGGAUAAUGUUAUGCGUACUUGCGUGGUAUACAAAUUAAGUAUGCUAACUAAGUAAACAUAAUAUUACUAUUUCAAAAGAUUUUGUUCUUCUUUGUUGUUAUUCUUCGUAAGCUUUAGCAUAUAGUUAUAAGCCUAAUUAAAGGUAUUGACAUGAUGACUCAUUAAUAAAGCUUUUAGACCCUAGAUUGGAAUAUGAAGAAUUAUCGAGGAAGCAUGAAGAUAAGAGCAAAUGAGUCUCCACCAGAAUGAGAAGAAAAUAUACUGCGUGUGAGCGUUACCGUAUUUGUGUCAAUCGAGGAGAAAUUUUGGCCAUUGAUUAGUAUUUAGAUAAGGCAGUAAAAGGGUAAAAUGGCAGAAAUAAACUAAAAAAAUAACUGAGUGAACUUGCACAAGUCGAUGAGGAAGAGUGAUGCAUACUGUUAUUGUUGUACGUGUUAAUUAAUAAUGAGAGGGGGACAAGCUGCGAGCCAGCUCUCAAGUGUUGAUUUUUCAAGGCGAGUCAACCCCGCCAGGACACCACCGCCUUUCCAGAUAAACAAAUUAAACAUUCUCUAGUAUAAGUGGUAAUAUACAAAACAGGAAACAGGGCUUUUGUACACAGCAAAAUCUUCAGUCCGUUCGAUUUAAAUACCAAUAUCUAUAAAUUCCUUAAUAAUAAUAAUAAUAAUAAGCAUAUCUUCAAGUUCUAUAUGUGUUUUAUUACACACGAACCCACCAGGAAGCAUGUGUUAUCAAUUAACCUAAAAUUUGGAAACAAAUUCACAGUUUCAUGUUACUAGGAAGCAUGUGUAUCGGUAUCUUGGGAUACAUAUUUCUUAGAUGUUAGAUCCAUGAUUAGUGUUAGGGACUCCAGUAAAGACUUGUCUUUAAUUUUCUUGGGUCAAGCCAAUUUCGUUUUUACAUAGCAAAGGUUUCUUGUUCAAAUCUCAGCGUGCUCAAUUUUUUGCGAAUAACACACGUAUAUGUUUCAAUUCUUGUAUGUUCAAGAACCUCUAAUUUAAUCUCCUAUCUCCGCUUUUGGAACGACAUGACCUUCAAACUGGAUCCAUGUUUCACAUGGGCAGGUCUUUUAACACUUUAAUGCUAUUUUCUGGACUCCUGUUUAACGUCUUAAGCUUUUGAAUUAAAUGAUUUCCUGAUAAUAAAUAUAGUUAUCGAAAAAAUCUGUUAAUUAAGUAGGUCAUUGAGCAAUUUUUUCUUUUUCUUUUUCUUUUGAGCAUAAAAUGCAAAAAAAAAAAAAAUGAAAAUCUCGAGAGAGAAGAGUACCCAGUGAAUUCUACAUUUUCUUUUUUGUGUUUUGACUGGUGGUGGCUGGAAAAAAAAAAAGCUAAUAAGAGUCAGCCGGUGAUGGGAACAUAACAGCAGUACAGAAUAAGUACUUGAGUCUCAAAAAUAUGCAAAGCCGCGUAUUGUAAUUAAAAAAAGUCCCUGUUGUAGCGUGUUCUGUUAGUGCGAUUCGGACAGCUGUUUUUAUUUCAUCACGCUAUUUUACGCAAACAACUGGCCACAGCUGAAGCUGAACUAACUGGAGCUUCCCAUUACUUUCCUCUGCUUUCGUUAUACUCACCUUCACCAGCUCAAUCAAGCUAUAAAUACCAAACCCUGGUAAGGUCCUAAACACACUCAUCGCUUCACUUUAAAAAAUUUCAAACUUCUCUCCAACUCAAUUUCUUCUAUCUUGUUGUUGCUCAGACGAAAGCUUCCAUGGCUUCAGUAUUGCAUCUGUCGCUGCUGCUUCUUGGCUCUUUGAUGGUUACCUCUGCUGGUAACUUCCACCAAGAUUUUGAUAUCACUUGGGGAGACGGGCGUGCUAAUAUACUCAACAACGGCCAGCUUCUUACUCUUUCCCUUGAUAAAGCCUCUGGCUCCGGCUUCCAGUCCAAGAAUGAGUAUCUAUUCGGCAAGAUUGAUAUGCAACUCAAACUAGUCCCUGGCAACUCUGCCGGCACUGUCACUGCUUAUUAUGUAAGUUCCUGCCUUUAUAUGAAUAAACAAUAUGCAUGUUUGAUCAUCACCCUUUAUAUGAAUAAACAAUAUGCAUGUUUGAUCAUCAUGUAUCUGACAUAUAGACCUUUGACUUUUUGUUCACGCAGUUAAAAUCGCCAGGAUCAACAUGGGAUGAGAUAGACUUCGAGUUCUUGGGGAAUUUAAGUGGUGACCCUUACACUCUGCAUACCAAUGUAUUCACAAAUGGCAAAGGUGACAAAGAACAACAAUUUCACCUCUGGUUUGACCCCACUGCUGACUUUCACACCUAUUCUAUCCUCUGGAAUCCUCAGCGCAUUGUGUAAGCAAUAUUUUCCUUCAAUCUCCAUCAUUUCUUCUUUCCUUGUCAUUCAAUCUGCUUAGACUUAUCAAUGUUUACUUAAUUUUCAGCUUCUCUGUGGAUGGUACUCCCAUAAGAGAGUUCAAGAACUCAGAGUCAAUUGGAGUUGCAUUCCCAAAGAAUCAGCCAAUGAGAAUAUACUCAUCUCUCUGGAAUGCUGAUGACUGGGCUACAAGAGGUGGCCUUGUCAAGACAGAUUGGACGCAUGCUCCCUUCACGGCUUCCUACAGAAACUUCAACGCUGAUGCCUGUGUCUGGUCUAAUGGAAAAUCUUCUUGCGCUUCAAGUUCACCUUCCUCUCCAUCCAGCAGCAGUGCCUGGUUCUCACAAGAGCUUGAUUCAACAAGUCAAGAAAGGCUGAAAUGGGUGCAGAAGAAUUACAUGAUUUACAAUUAUUGCGCUGAUGCAAAGAGAUUUCCCCAGGGACUCCCUGCAGAAUGCAGAACCUCUUAGAAGUUUUGCAAAAUCAACACAUACAUCAAAAAAAUUUAUUCUUUUUGUCAAUUCUUUGAUUCUUUGUUGUAUUUUGUCGUCAAUAAAAUGGCAAAUUAGUCCAACUUUCUCAAUGUAAUACAAAAUUUAGCAUAUAAAUAUCAUGAGAUUAUGUUCUCUACUCUUCGCAUGCUUGCUAUAUGUUCUUCUUUGGCUAGGUUUUAACGUAGAAACGACCAAACCUCUUCACAUAUGCAAUGGUACUCUAAAUUUUUGACUGACUUAACGGGUAAGGACUAGCAAAAUAUUCUAUUGCCAUUAAAACGACUUCUCUCAUUUGGGACUUUUAUCAAACAUCUUGCAAGCAAACGAUUAAAAUUCACCGACACCCACUCCGAGAUUUUUUUUUUAAUGUCCUGUUAAAAUAGUACACCCAACAGUAACAUGACAAUAAAAAGAUAAAUCAAGAACAAAUACAAUCACAAUUGUAUCCAGUUAUUUAAUUCUUAUAUUCAUCUUUGAUUCUUUCAUGUAGUAUUCAUGCAUGUUCACACACAAAUUAGGAUCCAAGCUUUAUGGCAUUUGGGGAUUGAGCAUCUUCUUGAUUGGGGGGGGUGGAAUGGUUAAUGCACUAAUAAAUUGUAACUUAGUUUAUCACGUUUUAUUAGGUAGGAUCCAAAAAAAUGAACAUUGAUUUGAUGAGUAAUGAUACACUUAUAAAAUUCAGAUGUAAAGUUUAUAUAGUAAAUAAUGUGAUAUUUGAUAUAUCAUUCAUUUAUUAAUGUUUGAUCCUAUUAAAAAAUUAACUUUAUAAAUGUGUCAUUACUCUGAUUUUAUUACGUGUUUAGUAAUUGUUUAAUGUUAAAAAAAAACACUUAAGUAAAACCAUAUUUGUUGUUCGAUUGAAAAAUAAACAGGCUGUUAGUUUAGUAUUAUCAUUACAAUAAAUUAACACAAAAAAUGGUGAGACACAUUUGACAUAAAGCAUUGGAUUCCAUAUGGUGGGACUCAUAACUCAUUUGAACCUUUUUUUUUUUUGUUUUUUAAUUCCUUAUACAUUCUCAGAAACAUGUACAUAUAUUUAUUACUUUUUCAUCUUACGAUAAUAAGGCUAAUAUUUAUCAUCCAUUCAACAAAUUACAGAAUCCUCAAUUUUAUAUUCAACACUCAAAUAAUUGAAGCAUUCCAUAUUUUGUUCGCAAAUGAAAAGGUGAUAAAAUUUUUCGAUCGUCCUAAUACUAGAGUCUAGAGCCAUUCUCCAAUAGUAAAAGAAAUGACAAAAAUAUUUGGAAAACAAACAGAAAGGUUUAAUUAUUUUAAUAACUUUGUUGUCUGUUGAAAUUAUGUAGUUAUAUCUACAAGAUUCUAAAUUAUUCACACACAGCAUAAAAAUAUAAAAAUUGAAACGAUAAUUGCUUAUUUUAUUCUCUGACGAAAAAUUGAAAAUGAAAAAAAUGAUAAAUAAGGAGAAAGUCUUAAGUAUUCUUGACAAAUUACUCCCUACUCAAUUAUUCAACUUUAAUUGUGUUUGAACAUUUUCAUGAUUUUUUUUUAAUUAAAAUUUUGUCGGCAUCCACUGCUGUGGAAUUAAUUUAUUACUUGUAUGUAUAAUAUAUGAAUCAUUUAAUAAACCAAGCAAGACGAUUUCUAAUUUUAUUUUAACACAUAUGUAAAGCAGCAAAAAGAUAUAAUAAUAUUCAAAAUGGAAGUUUAAAAUAAUCAUGGCAUUAAAUAGACUUAAGCCAUAAUUAAUUAUAUCGGUUAUAGAUUAAUUAAUCACUUCAUAUUGUUUUGGAUUCAAAUGGUAAUUAAGCAAGUAUAUUUCCCCCUGUUUAGUCUAACAUGCAUUUUAUCUAGCAGUCGUCGCUUUAUAAUAAACAAUAUUAUCGUUUUAACUUAAUUAAUUAACGUCUUAUUCUUUAUACAAAAAUAAUGGACAAAUUGAAACCGGUCAGCAUCAUCAAAGAAUUUAAAAAAAGAAAAGGAAAAAAGAUAAGAGCUUGGUGACUUAUGAUCAGCAAUCAAGCUAUACUCCAUUAUUGAAAAAGAAACUGGUCUAACAACAUUCAAUUACACUCCUGAACAGAAAGAGAAAGAUAUAAGAGAGAGAGAGAGAGAGAGAUUAAAGAUGCGCUAAAUGAAUGGAUCAUCGCCAUUAGAGAUGUAUCCUCACUAUCUUUUCCUGGGAAGUUUAUUUGGAAAGCUAGAAAAUGAAAGGAAAUGAUACAAGAUAUAUAUAUAUAUAUAUAUAUAUAUAUAUAUCUAUCCAUCGUACGUGCUUCACUUUCACUUUCAAGAACUUAUGGACUGAUGUGAAGAGAGCUCCAUGAGGGGGAUUUUAAGGUGUUCCCAAUUUAUCAUCUGCGGUUGAGAAAUGAAAAAUGUAGGGUGCAAACCCCAAUAACCCCGUCUCUAGUGUUUACAGCCCCUCUUUAUUUAUAGGGUUUUACAUCUACAAAUAGAAAAAUUUUAAAAUACAUUAAAGAUAUUAUGUAACUUAUACAACAAGUAAAUAAUAUUAUGGCAUGUGUGUAUUUAUUUUAAAAAAUUAUUAUAUAAAUAGUGAUUAUAUUAAAUUCAAUUACAUAUAUCAUAUAUGUAUUAAUUAUUUGUAAUACAUCAAAAAUAUUCUAAAAUUUCUCCAACAAGUGAUGCUGAUAGCCUUGCAAAUUUUUGUAUGCUUUAAUGCCACGUACUUGCUUCUUAAUUGUGAUAGUUAGAUUGUAAAAAUUUUGGGUUUACAUUUAUUUACUUUAUAAUUAAUUAGCAAAUACUAGUGCAGGCACCCUUGAUAGAUAUUAGAUUGUCAGUUAAUAUGUAGUAACUUUAGGAAACAAAUUUAUGAGGUGGAAUAAGAAAAAAGUUAAAAGAA
rnacentral:lncRNA from 1 species